rnacentral:lncRNA from 1 species
CAGGCUAGGGGUUGAAUUGGAGCUGCAGCUGCUGGCCUACACCACGACCACAGCAAUGAGGGAUCCGGGCUGUGUCUGCCACCUACGCUGAAGCCUGUGGCAAUGCUAGAUCCUUAACCCACUGAGUGAGGUCAGUGAUCAAACCUGUGUCUUCAAGGAUACUAGUCGGAUUCAUUAUUUUAAAAUACGGUUCAGGCCCCAAAGAAUUCACAGUCAGUGAGCGGGGGAUGUACAAUAAUCAGAGGGACUCAGGGUAAGCACUUGGGGCUGAUGGGGCUCAGUGACGGCCUGGGGAGAUCAAGGCAGAAGUCCUCAUUUGGCUUAUGUUGUGCUGGGCGAGUUCCCCUCGAUCUGCCAGGUGACAGCAGAGCAUGAGAAGGCCAAGUGCAAGACCCAGCAGAAAUCUCCACUUCGGCACCUUGCCCACCGUGGUUUGGAAAAAAGAAUCCAAGCUUUAGAGUCAGACUGUGCCCUUGACUAACACUUUGGACAAUGGCCCUCGCCUUUGGGGCCUCAGUCUUCUUAGAUCUUUACAACGAGCCUCAGAGUUGUUUGUGAGAAAUAAAUAAAGCCCACAGUAGAAUGUUGGACACUCAAGAGGUGUGUUACUGUCUUGAUUAAGCGCAUCCUUAUCCAGGAUGUGUGCCAUUCUUAGAAAGCUCAAUGAGAAUGUUUUUUUUUCAAAAAAGCCCUGAAUCUGGAACAAACAUCAACUAAUUUCUCAUCUUCUGGCCUCUGCCUAGGGGGGUUCAGCACAUGGGUGCACCUGUGACCUGCGCGGCUCCUUAGAGAGAGCACUUUCUCCGCCCUGUUUCCUUCUGGCUGAGCAUCGUUCAGACGGUAGCUCCCAUUAGGUGACCCCUGGGCCCCUGAAUGAUUCCCUGAAUCAGGAUCACAGAGCCACUGCUGCCCCUUCCAUCAGCUAACAAAGCUCUUACAUGGGAGUUUCUCACUCCUCGUUUCCACAUCUGUUUUGGCCAGGGUAUGGUGAUGGUUAAUUUUAGGUGUCCACUUGACUGGUUCAUGGGGUGUCCAGAUAUUUAGUGAAGCAGUGUUUUCAGGCAUGUCUGUGAGAGUAUUUCUGGAUGAGCUUAGCAUUUGAAUCCACAGACUGAGUAAGGACUGCCCUUCCCAGUGUAGGUGGGAGUAAGGACUGCCCUUCCCAGUGUAGGUGGGCAGACACCACGCAACCCCUUGAGGGCAGGGAUAGAACAAAAAGGUGGGGGAAGGAAGAAUUCUCCCUCUGCCUGACUGCUUGAGCUGGGACCUCGGUCUCCUGCCCUUGAACUGGGAAUGAUACCACUGGUGCUCCUGGUCCGCAGGCCUGUGGACUUGGACCGGAACGACACCACCGGCUCUCCUCGGUCUCCAGCUGGCAGAUGGCAGACCAUGGGACUUCCUGGCUUCCAUAAUUGCAUGAGCCAACUCCUUACAAUCAAUCUCUUAAUAUAUACCUAUCCUAUGUGCUCUGUUUCUCUGGAGAGCCUCAUGCAGUCCCAUUCGGUGCCCAUUCAGGUGACCCGAUCCAGGCUCUCCCGGGCGGUCCUGCCUUGCUUCUAGGAGACCUUCUUCCAAGACUUCUUCCCGAGGUCCUUGGCCAAUGUGCCUAGAUUCCCGAGCAUGGAAUGUGGGGCCAGAUCCUCUGCCUGCAGCCCUCUUCCUCCCCCAGAGGCCAGCUGCCCUGUCUAGAGUCUGAUUCCCCCUCACCUGGCAGCUUCUGCCCAGCCUCAGGGAGUCAGCCUAGUGCCCAACAUUAACCCUUCCUCUUGCCCUGACAAUCAGGAAAAGCUUAGGGUGAGAAGGGAAUCUAAUUUAGAGGCCGGCACAAGUGACAUCACCAGCACAAACACGAAGCAUGGAGAAGACCAGAUAAUUUCCCCAAGCAAGGACCACCUCUUCUAUCAGUGCUUUUGUAAAAUCCAGGACUCCCACUGCCAUCCUGAUUCAGGAAGCCAAACUCUGACCACAGUUCUGCCCUCAGUUUUCUUCCUUUCGAUGAAACCAACCCCCUUCCCUUUGAGAGGGACCCCAGCUGACUUCCCACCUCCACGCAUCUUUGUAUGAAAGUUGGCAGGCAGUGGCCCAGUGGCCUGCACAGUCCUCCUGACAAAUGAGAAUCCAAGCCACUGGCCCUUGGAGGAGCUUAGAUGAUUACAGGCCCACUGCCCAUAAAUCCAGAGAAAUGGGAUGGGCCCCUCUGUCCUGGGGAACAUGCAGUCCAAUUCUUAGCACCCUGAUUUCCAGAUCUUUGGCUCGGAGAGACCCAGAGAAGUCACUGAGAGUAUCCCCUCUCUCUCUAAGCCCUGUGCCUUCCCCCUGCUGGCCCCCCUCUGCCAGGAGACUCUUUCCCCUGUGGUGGGAUGAGGUUUUCCAAGUCAGGGCUCUGCACAAGAGAGGCAGCUGCUGGACCAUCCCACCUACCCUGAGGGCUGCUCCUGGAAAAGCUCAAAAGAAGGGGGUGGGUGGGUGAUGCUUACUGCACCCCUGCCAUGUGCCAGGCGAUUCCCCACUCCAUUCUGUAAUAAACUUGAUCCACAGAGAGAAUUUACCCUCACUUUCGGAGGAGGAAAUUGAGGCAGCGCUUUCCCACUGUCUGAUAACAGGCACUUAAUAAACGCUUAUCAGCCUGAACUUACCUCCAAGCUCUUGAGAAAUGACACCGUUUUCUGAAAAUGUGCAGAACCGUAACUCUUAUGAUCCGUGUAGUCUGUUCUACUGACUGAGGUAUAAAGGCGGUGCAAGAAGGCGAUGACUGAGUUUUGGGCACAUGCGUACAGGAGAGGGUCUAACUGUCCAUCAUACGGACACUCUUCCAUCCAGAGAACAGAACUGAAAGUGGCCGCUCAGCCAAGGACUACAUUUCCCAGCUUCCCCUGCAGCCAGGUGGGACCAUGGAACUGGAUCUCAGGGAUGAGACUCAAUACCUUCUCAGCCCAGAGGGUAGGGAAGCAGGUCUGCCUUCUUCACCCUUUUCUCCUCUUUUGCGGGCGGCUCUGAAGCGCCAGAAGAUGGAAGAACCAUCAUCUAGAAGGAGUCUGGGUCUCUGAAUCAUUCCCCAAAGGCUGCCUGCCUCUGACUGAUACAGAGACGAUCACGCCUACUUACGCCUCUGAAAACUGUGAGGUUUUCUACUCUAACUGCCCUUACCCUUAAUAACAGACUUGAUGUGGCUUAUCGUUUCAUGCAUCUUUCGGGGUGGACAUUCAGGGCAAGCUAAUCCUUCAGGGGACAGGGGGCUCUGAUUAAGUGCUCUCUGGACUCCUUCCCUCAUCUCCUUCACCAGGAGCAGCCACAUCCGAUGUCCCCGAGCCCUUCCUAGCGCCCCUGCAUUUCUCAUGAUGUCUCCCCGGGUUCCUGUGCCCUUUCACAGUUAAUAUCCUACCUUCACAACACCCUCAAAAGCCCCCCCCUCAGAGGAGCGCUCCCCAGGCCUCUCUAGUGCUGAUCUGGCUCAUCCUGAGGUUCUCUCUCUGACGUGUCCUUCCCCACCCAGCCCUCCACUGAUCCCUCCCCCGGUGUCGUUCCACUGGCCCCGUCAGGGCAGGUCUGGUGCAGGCAGGCGGAGGAAGUGGCUGGAGGUGGGCAUGUCCUCUGGAGGGACCUCCUGGAAGGCGGGUGACCAAGAUUCCGAGGCCAAAGCGGGCUGGGUGGGAAAGGGGCUGCGUGGGCAGUCAGUGUUAGGGUGCAGAGGGAGGAGCUGCUCUCUGCCGGAUGCCCAGAUUAAACAUCGAUUACAGCUCAGGAAGCACCCCAUAGGCUCCUGACCUCACACACAGUCAUAGCCCAGGCCCUGAUGGGUGCCCUUAAGGCCCCACGACCCAGCUGCCCUGGUACGGCUGCCGCUCUGGCCUCCUCGCCACUCUGCUCUCCUGUGCCCCCUAAAGCCACAGGCCCUGCCCUGCCUCUGGGUCUCCGCACAGCACGUCCACUGCUGGCAGACGUCCUUUCCCAUUUGACUCACCCCCUCAUCGCCUUUACUCCUUUGUUCCACUGUCACCUCCUCACUUACUUUUCUACCACCCUGUUUCAAACUGCAAACUCCUUGGGGUUAGCAGAUGCAAACUAUUGCAUGUGGCCUGGAUAGGCAAUGAGAUCCUGCUGUACAGCACAGGGAACUAUAUCCAGUCACUUGUGAUGGAACCUGAUGGAGGAUAAUGUGAGAAAAAGAAUGUUUAUAUAUAUGUAUGACUGGGUCACUCUGUUGUACGGCAGAAAUUGACAGAACAUUUAAAAUCAACUAUAAAAAAGGUAAAAAAAAAAUAAAGACAUAAAAUUACCAACUGCCUCCCCGCUGACCUCUCUACCUCGUUUGUUCCCCAUUUCCCUCCAUCGCACGUCUUCUCUCCAGUCUUUUUUACUACCUAACAGACUCUGACAAUCUAAUUUAUUUCUCUGCUCACGAGGGCAGGGGUUUUACUGUCAUUUCUCCAGGGCUUAGCACAGUCCCCGGCACCAAGGAAACUGUCCAUACAUAUUUGCUGAAAAAACUGAUAGCAACCAAGUGCAUCUGGGACGGGGACUUACCCGCGGUGCCAUUUCCACGUUACAGUGAAAAGCUGCCCUUGGCCUCAGCAUCUCAUUUAAAUGUUAUCUCCGGGGUGCUAGGGCCAGCAGGACCCGGGGAGCCACUGCCCCACCACUCCGUCAUAGCUUACUCACAAUGCAGGAGGAAGCCACUAUCGCCCUGCUGGCACUGGCAAGGGGCGGGGGAGGCCACUGGAACUUGAGAAUCCAUUUAUCUAUUAAUUUAUUAUCUAAUUAAGGCCCACAGUGACAGCGCUAUUUGUUCCAAAAUGCCCUCCAACUAAACCAAUACAGCGUAUGCGCCUUCUAAUCAAUUAAAACGGUUCUCCGAGAAGUCGGCCUUCAGCAGCCAGUAACCGCUGCACUCCCAGGUCCAGGGCAGGGAGAGGCCUCGUCACUUCAUUAGGCCCCAAAUGAUCUAACUGCACACUGGCCACCUGGGCUCUUCUUAGAGGGCCAGAGGCAGCUGUUCCAGGGUCCCAGUGAUGAGUGAGCAAGACCCUUUUGGCGGAGAACUGCCUUUUACCUACCAUUUGCAAAUCGAGUUAUAACUACAGAGAACGCAGGCACUGGGAGUUAAGACGCUGGGCAAGGACCAGCUAGAGAGACAUACUGCAGCCCUGGCCCAGGGCUGAGACUUUUACAGCCAGGGAGGCUGAGGCAGCUCUGGAGCUGCAGGCAGCUCUGUACGGGGCUAACGGACUUGAACCAUGCUCUGGACUUGAACCAUGCUCUGGCCCUUCCGGGCAGACUGUAGCACAUGCAUUCCAUGAUGUGUGGCACGUCUUCUGACGCAUGGACCGACUGGCAUACUCACGCAUCCUCUCGCCCACCCAGACACCACCCACUCAGCUUUGUCAUGGCUUCACUCUACACCAGUUGGGUGGUGUGCUUCUAAGAAGCUGGGAGCCCCUUUAGGGCUGAUCCAUCCUUGUGUCUUGGGCCCUGGCACAGGGCCCCAGGAAACACAUGUUGAACUGAACUGAACUAAAAAUAUCUCGUUAGGCUGCUGGGAGAAAAUACACCUAAGUACGCAGCUCAGUAACUGGUAAUAACGCUAAUGGUCCCAGCCACGCGCUAAGGGCUUACGGCCUGCCGGGCACGGUCUACAGACUUUAUGCCUAUUGAGGCCUGGACUCCUCACAGUGACUGUAGGGGGUAAGUAUGAUUUUUAUCACCUCUGGAAUGAGGCAGAGCUGGGAUUUGAACCCGGGCAGUUUGGCUCCUGAGUCCUUGGUCUAAGCCACUAUAAUUGUCAUGAGUUUUGCUGAACUGAGUGCUACCAGGAACCAGUGUAACCAAAGGAUGCUCCACUGACCACAGAGGUGCAAGGCCACCUCUUUCCAGUUCACAUGUGGAUCACCAAUGAACGGGAAAAGCUUGACUGCUGACUUCUUAAGACAAAAGCCGCGUGUGUGUGUGUGUGUGUGUGUGUGUGUGUUCUAAGAGACAUCUUUAUUGUUCAAUUCCCCCACAGUGCAAAAACUAUUCAAUUAACAACAGGUAAUAAAAUUUUACGCCACAGCUUUCGAAUAAGGUCCAUUAAUGAGAAAGAACCAAAGAAAAGAGCAGAAAGAAUUCCACAGUAUUUGAGAGUCUGCUGUGUGUCAAGCACUGUGCUCACUGCUAGAGGCAUCAUGCUGAAUGAAAGAGACAUGGUUCCUGCCCUCAUGGAGCUUAUGGUCUGGUGAGGAGAUGGACAAUGCACAGAAACACAACAAGCAGCCAAACACGAAUGCUUGCAGUGCUGUAACAGAUAUAAAUAAACAGGACACUUGAGGAGGAUACCAAGGUAUUAACUCAAAUCAGGAUGUGGGAAAAGGCCUCUCUGAGAAGGUGACAAUUAGGUUGAAGCUUCAGGAAUGAAAAGGACAAAGAUGCCAAGGGAGAUGGAAGAGCUCUUUCUAAGAAGUGGAACAGUAUGUGUCAAGGUCAAAGGCAAGGACAAGCUUGAUGCGUCAAGGACCUGUGAGUGUGGGGAGGGCAGGUUCAGUGGGGUGGCAGGACUGAGCCAGGCUGAAUCACCAGUGUUGGACAGGCAUGUGCGCUAUGGCCAAGGCUCUGGAUUUUAUGUUAAGAAAAUGAAGGGAAGGCAGGGAAGGGUUUAAGCAGGGACAAAACAGUGCUGCAAUUUCUAUCUUUCAAAGAUCUACUGUGUAGGAGACACGAGUAGAAAGCAGAAGA